AAAGGGUAGCAAUACCUGAGUACAGUGGCGCACGGGUGAGUAACACGUGAAUAAUCUACCUCCGAGUGGGGAAUAACUUAGGGAAACCUGAGCUAAUACCGCAUAACACUUACGAGUCAAAGCAGCAAUGCGCUUGGAGAGGAGUUCGCGGCAGAUUAGCUAGUUGGCGGGGUAAUGGCCCACCAAGGCGAUGAUCUGUAUCCGGCCUGAGAGGGCGCACGGACACACUGGAACUGAAACACGGUCCAGACUCCUACGGGAGGCAGCAGUGGGGAAUUUUGCGCAAUGGGGGAAACCCUGACGCAGCAACGCCGCGUGGAGGAUGAAAUCCCUUGGGAUGUAAACUCCUUUCGAUCGGGACGAUUAUGACGGUACCGGAAGAAGAAGCCCCGGCUAACUUCGUGCCAGCAGCCGCGGUAAUACGAGGGGGGCAAGCGUUGUUCGGAAUUAUUGGGCGUAAAGGGUGCGUAGGCGGUUUGAUAAGUCUUGUGUGAAAUCUCUGGGCUCAACCCAGAGUCUGCACAGGAAACUGUCGGGCUUGAGUAUGGGAGAGGUGAGUGGAAUUUCCGGUGUAGCGGUGAAAUGCGUAGAUAUCGGAAGGAACACCUGUGGCGAAAGCGGCUCACUGGACCAUUACUGACGCUGAUGCACGAAAGCUAGGGGAGCAAACAGGAUUAGAUACCCUGGUAGUCCUAGCCCUAAACGAUGAUUGCUUGAUGUGGAGGGUACCCAAUCCUUCCGUGUCGAAGCUAACGCGAUAAGCAAUCCGCCUGGGGAGUACGGUCGCAAGGCUGAAACUC
rnacentral:rRNA from 1 species